rnacentral:misc_RNA from 1 species
AAGUCGUAACAAGGUUUCCGUAGGUGAACCUGCGGAAGGAUCAUUAACACGUAUCCAACGUUAAACCCCCCCUGUGAACCUUAAGCGCAGCUCUUGCAGCCUUGAUAAAAACAGCAAUCCUGGUAAAUCAGUCCGAGAAAAGUCUUUGAUUCAGGACCUCUGUCUAAAAGGAUGCAAUCGAGCGCUGGAUUAAGUGGCUUGGUUUCCCCAAGCAGUUAGUAUUCUGAAAGUGUUGCUAAUUGUGUAAAGAUAACGCUUUAUGAUUGCUGUAGGCCGAACCCCGAUGACUCGGCCACCGGGCUCACCCCCUAAUCACGCCCAACAGUUAUAUCUCUGGACGUCUCCACAGCAAGUGCGCCGGAGUUUCAUCCAAUACCUAACAACAGGUAACAAUGGAUAUCUUGGUUCUCA